GAUGAACGCUAGCUACAGGCUUAACACAUGCAAGUCGAGGGGAAACGACAUCGAAAGCUUGCUUUUGAUGGGCGUCGACCGGCGCACGGGUGAGUAACGCGUAUCCAACCUGCCCACCACUUGGGGAUAACCUUGCGAAAGUAAGACUAAUACCCAAUGAUAUCUCUAGAAGACAUCUGAAAGAGAUUAAAGAUUUAUCGGUGAUGGAUGGGGAUGCGUCUGAUUAGCUUGUUGGCGGGGUAACGGCCCACCAAGGCAACGAUCAGUAGGGGUUCUGAGAGGAAGGUCCCCCACAUUGGAACUGAGACACGGUCCAAACUCCUACGGGAGGCAGCAGUGAGGAAUAUUGGUCAAUGGACGAGAGUCUGAACCAGCCAAGUAGCGUGCAGGAAGACGGCCCUAUGGGUUGUAAACUGCUUCUAUAAGGGAAUAAAGUGAGUCUCGUGAGACUUUUUGCAUGUACCUUAUGAAUAAGGACCGGCUAAUUCCGUG
rnacentral:rRNA from 1 species